rnacentral:rRNA from 1 species
GUGGGGAAUAUUGGACAAUGGGGGGAACCCUGAUCCAGCCAUGCCGCGUGUGUGAAGAAGGCCUUUUGGUUGUAAAGCACUUUAAGCGAGGAGGAGGCUACCGAGAUUAAUACUCUUGGAUAGUGGACGUUACUCGCAGAAUAAGCACCGGCUAACUCUGUGCCAGCAGCCGCGGUAAUACAGAGGGUGCAAGCGUUAAUCGGAUUUACUGGGCGUAAAGCGCGCGUAGGUGGCCAAUUAAGUAAAAUGUGAAAUCCCCGAGCUUAACUUGGGAAGUGCAUUCGAUACUGGUUGGCUAGAGUAUGGGAGAGGAUGGUAGAAUUCCAGGUGUAGCGGUGAAAUGCGUAGAGAUCUGGAGGAAUACCGAUGGCGAAGGCAGCCAUCUGGCCUAAUACUGACACUGAGGUGCGAAAGCAUGGGGAGCAAACAGGAUUAGAAACCCUUGUAGUCC